CGUGCAGGUGGUUUGGUAAGUUGGGUAUGAAAUCUCCUGGCUUAACUAGGAGAGGUUGCUCAAAACUACCAGACUAGAGGACGAUAGAGGAAGGUGGAAUUCCCGGUGUAGUAGUGAAAUGCGUAGAUAUCGGGAGGAACACCAGUGGCGAAGGCGGCCUUCUGGGUCGUUCCUGACACUAAGACGCGAAAGCAUGGGUAGCAAACAGGAUUAGAUACCCUGGUAGUC
rnacentral:rRNA from 1 species